AGAGUUUGAUCCUGGCUCAGAACGAACGCUGGCGGCAGGCCUAACACAUGCAAGUCGAACGAGACUUUCGGGUCUAGUGGCGCACGGGUGAGUAACGCGUAGGAAUCUACCCAGUUCUACGGAAUAACAGUUGGAAACGACUGCUAAUACCGUAUACGCCCUUCGGGGGAAAGAUUUAUCGGAAUUGGAUGAGCCUGCGUGACAUUAGUUUGUUGGUGGGGUAACGGCCUACCAAGACUACGAUGUCUAGCCGGUCUGAGAGGACGAUCGGCCACACUGGGACUGAGACACGGCCCAGACUCCUACGGGAGGCAGCAGUGGGGAAUAUUGGACAAUGGGCGCAAGCCUGAUCCAGCCAUGCCGCGUGAGUGAUGAAGGCCUUAGGGUUGUAAAGCUCUUUCAGUAGCGAAGAUGAUGACAGUAGCUACAGAAGAAGCCCCGGCUAACUUCGUGCCAGCAGCCGCGGUAAUACGAAGGGGGCUAGCGUUGUUCGGAUUUACUGGGCGUAGAGGGCACGCAGGCGGCCUAUCAAGUCAGAGGUGAAAUCCCGGAGCUCAACUCCGGAACUGCCUUUGAAACUGAUAGGCUUGAGAUCGAGAGAGGUAAGUGGAAUUCCUAGUGUAGAGGUGAAAUUCGUAGAUAUUAGGAGGAACACCAGUGGCGAAGGCGACUUACUGGCUCGAAUCUGACGCUCAUGUGCGAAAGUGUGGGGAGCAAACAGGAUUAGAUACCCUGGUAGUCCACACCGUAAACGAUGAGUGCUAGUUGUUGGAACCUUUAGGUUUCAGUGACGCAGCUAACGCGCUAAGCACUCCGCCUGGGGAGUACGGCCGCAAGGUUAAAACUCAAAGGAAUUGACGG
rnacentral:rRNA from 1 species